UGGGCUCGCGGCCUAUCAGCUUUGUUGGUGAGGUAAUGGCUCACCAAGGCGACGACGGGUAGCCGGCCUGAGAGGGCGACCGGCCACACUGGGACUGAGACACGGCCCAGACUCCUACGGGAGGCAGCAGUGGGGAAUAUUGCACAAUGGGCGAAAGCCUGAUGCAGCGACGCCGCGUGAGGGAUGACGGCCUUCGGGUUGUAAACCUCUUUCAGCAGGGAAGAAGCGAAAGUGACGGUACCUGCAGAAGAAGCACCGGCUAACUACGUGCCAGCAGCCGCGGUAAUACGUAGGGUGCGAGCGUUGUCCGGAAUUAUUGGGCGUAAAGAGCUUGUAGGCGGUUUGUCGCGUCUGCUGUGAAAAUCCGGGGCUCAACCCCGGACUUGCAGUGGGUACGGGCAGACUAGAGUGUGGUAGGGGAGACUGGAAUUCCUGGUGUAGCGGUGAAAUGCGCAGAUAUCAGGAGGAACACCGAUGGCGAAGGCAGGUCUCUGGGCCACUACUGACGCUGAGAAGCGAAAGCAUGGGGAGCGAACAGGAUUAGAUACCCUGGUAGUCCAUGCCGUAAACGUUGGGCGCUAGGUGUGGGACUCAUUCCA
rnacentral:rRNA from 1 species